rnacentral:tRNA from 1 species
UGGCUCAGAUGGUAAAGCGUCCGCCUGCAAUGCGGGACACCCAGGUUCAAUCCCUGG